rnacentral:rRNA from 1 species
GCGGUUUAAGCUGGCGGCGUGCUUACACAUGCAAGUCGAACGAACCUUCGGGUUAGUGGCGGACGGGUGAGUAACGCGUGAGAAUCUGCCCUCAGGAGGGGGAUAACGGUUGGAAACGACCGCUAAUACCCCAUAUGCCUACUGGUGAAAUGAAUUUCGCCUGAGGAUGAGCUCGCGUCUGAUUAGUUUGUUGGUGGGGUAAUGGCCUACCAAGACUGUGAUCAAUAGCUGAUUUGAGAGGAUGAUCAGCCACAUUGGGACUGAGACACGGCCCAAACUCCUACGGGAGGCAGCAGUGGGGAAUCUUGCACAAUGGAGGAAACUCUGAUGCAGCGAUGCCGCGUGAGUGAAGGAGGCCUUUGGGUUGUAAAGCUCUUUCGUCGGGGAAGAAAAUGACUGUACCCGAAUAAGAAGGUCCGGCUAACUUCGUGCCAGCAGCCGCGGUAAUACGAAGGGACCUAGCGUAGUUCGGAAUUACUGGGCUUAAAGAGUUCGUAGGCGGUCUGAUAAGUCAGAUGUGAAAGGCGUAGGCUCAACCUAUGUAAGCAUAUGAAACUGUCAGACUUGAGGUAAGGAGAGGAAAGUGGAAUUCCUAGUGUAGCGGUGAAAUGCGUAGACAUUAGGAGGAAUACCAGUGGCGAAGGCGACUUUCUGGACUUAAACUGACGCUGAGGAACGAAAGCGUGGGGAGCAAACAGGAUUAGAUACCCUGGUAGUCCACGCCGUAAACGAUGAGUGCUAGGUGUCGGUUAGAAAUAUUCGGUGCCACAGCUAACGCAAUAAGCACUCCGCCUGGGGAGUACGUACGCAAGUAUGAAACUCAAAUGAAUUGACGG